rnacentral:rRNA from 1 species
AAGUGAAGAUGUAGUCGCGGCUAGACGGAAAGACCCCGUGAACCUUUACUAUAGCUUCACAUUGGACUUUGAUAUUACUUGUGUAGGAUAGCUGGGAGGCUUUGAAGCGGUGACGCCAGUUGCUGUGGAGCCAACCUUGAAAUACCAGCCUGGUACUAUUGAGGUUCUAACCUAAGCCCAUUAUCUGGGUUGGGGACAAUGUGUGGUGGGUAGUUUGACUGGGGCGGUCUCCUCCCAAAGAGUAACGGAGGAGCACGAAGGUGUGCUAAGUACGGUCGGACAUCGUACAGUUAGUGUAAAGGCAAAAGCAUGCUUGACUGCGAGAGAGACAACUCGAGCAGGUACGAAAGUAGGUCUUAGUGAUCCGGUGGUUCUGUAUGGAAGGGCCAUCGCUCAACG